ACGAAAAUAAAAUCAGGGAAAAUAGAAACCCUUUCAAUCCCUAAAUGACCUCUCAUUUAGGCUGAGUUAUGCAACUCAUCUCCUUCCUUCUCUGUUCACAAUCUGCAACGCCGGCGACAUCCCCAUUCAAAGAGAACAUUCAUACGACAGCGGCAUCCGAUUCUAUAUUCGUUCACAAUCCUUUCAUUCUUUCUCUUCCUCCUUCUUUUUCCCACCACAAAGUCUAUCUCCAUCUUCUCACACAAUCUUUCCCUUUUCCAUUCCCAUCCUUCAGCUUAUAUUAACCUUCUCUCUCAUAAUCUUCUUCUCAGCACACCACGAUUUUGCCAAUGCAAGCAAAUGAGAGGAUUGAUGUAUGUGUGGAUGAUAAGGUUACAAACUACUUAAACCGGAGAGAUGUGCCAGAGGCACUUCAUGUGAAGCUUGUCGGAGUUCGCAAGUAGGAUGUUUGUAGCAAUUAUUUCAGGUUAUCGAUUGGGGAUCCACGCUCUGAAUAGGUGAUAUUGGGUGGGAGUAAUUUUUCGUAUUUUGUUGAGCUAUGAACAAUUUAGAUUUUUGUAAAUUUGAUUGAUCAAUUGUGUUACUUUUAUCGGUUAUUCAGAGGUAGGAAUUAAUUGUCUCUAA